rnacentral:rRNA from 1 species
UACGUAGGGGGCGAGCGUUGUCCGGAAUUAUUGGGCGUAAAGAGCUCGUAGGCGGUCUGUCGCGUCGGCUGUGAAAACCCGAGGCUCAACCUCGGGCCUGCAGUCGAUACGGCAAACAUAGAGUACUGCAGGGGAGACUGGAAUUCCUGGUGUAGCGGUGAAAUGCGCAGAUAUCAGGAGGAACACCGGUGGCGAAGGCGGGUCUCUGGGCAGUAACUGACGCUGAGGAGCGAAAGCGUGGGGAGCGAACAGG